rnacentral:lncRNA from 1 species
CUGACCUCAAGAUCCGCCCGCCUCGGCCUCCGAAAGUGCUGGGAUUACAGGCGUGAGCCACUGCGCCCGGCCUAUCUAAACUUAAUAAUAUCUUUGUAUUAACCACCAUACUCCAACACCACCAUUAUUUUCUUUCUGAAUUAUGUGGCAGUGCAAAACAUUACAACCACACUGAAAAAAAAAUCCGGCAGUUUGGUAGAGAAAGAAAGCGUAAAAUCAAUCAAUUUAACAUAUAGUUAAAGAUUGUCUAGAGUGAGCAAAACUGAGGUUCUAUUUCCAUUAAUGAAGGUAUAUAUUCUAAUAAAACUGCAUGCCCUCACCCACAGAUCCAACAUUAGAAACCUUGGACAAAAUGUAAAAAUCAAACCUGAAGGCACUAGAAAGUGACAAGCAAUCAGAAUAUUCAGGGUAAUAGACACUUAGAAAAAGACAACAGUAUUGGGGGAGUUUCCUGUUUCUGUGGCUUUUCACUUGAAGGCAGACCUCAGUUGUUACUGGGUAGAACACUAAAAACUCAGUUAACAAUAUAUGUACUUGCUGCUUUGAAAAACAAGAAUGAGCCGGACGCAGUGGCUUACGCUUGUAAUCCCAGCACUUUGGGAGGCUGAGGUGGGCAGAUCACAAGAUCAGGAUUUCGAGACCAGCUAGGCCAAUAUGGUGAAACCCCGUCUCUACUAAAAACACAAAAAUUAGCCGGGCAUGGUGGUGGGCGCCUGUAGUCCCAGCUACUCAGGAGGCUGAGGCAGGAGAAUCGCUUGAACCCAGGAGGCAGAGGUUGCAGUGAGCCGAGAUCUCGCCACUGCACGUCAGCCUGGGCGACAGAGCGAGACUCCGUUUCAAAAAAAAAAGAAUGAUUUGUGCCUGCCAUAGCAACUAGAAAAUGAUGGUAGAGUACCCGUAAAGAAGAGAUAUAGAGGAAUAAAUACCAAAUUGUAUAAACUCUAGUCAAGUCUCUAAAGUACAUGUUUGAGACAGAUGUGAAGCAGCCCAAAAUAGGCUAAAGAUUUCAGCUGCUGUAUGUAGCAGGGAAAAAUUAAGAAUUUAAUUUCAAUCAAAUUAACUACCUGAAAAAAAAAAAAGGCUUCAGAGAAUUAUACAGAAUCCAGAACAGGAGCUUACAAAACAAUAAAACCUGGGGAUGGUAAUGUUUCAGUAUGUUCUAUGGUCUGUACCAUCUAGGCACUCAGUCACUACAGUUUUAUUCUUAGUGCAGUUUACUACAGCAAGAAUAUUUGAAUUAAAAGAAUAUGAAUUACAGUUAUACAUUCUACAGCUUUGAAUAUACAGUGCUUUACCUGAGUACUUAGAAUUUCCAUGCAAUUCUAUAAUUAUUAGUUGAAGUUAUCUUAUACCUAAGCUCUAAGCAUGUAGAAUAAUGACCCAGAACAACUUGACACCUAGCAUCUUGAAAUGCAAUCUGAUGGGGAAGACACUGAGUUAUAAAGCUCUGCAAAUUUGGGCUGACAAAAUGAGUUAUUAGUGAAAUGAGAAAAGUUCCCUUGUUCCCUUUGCAGGGCAUGCGACAGGGGGAAUGGCUCGCUUCAGUGCCCUGCUGCUCAAAGCUCUAGGGGAGAAUGCAGACGGGCAGGCUGUGGGGCUCUAACCCCACAGCAACCUCUAGGGAUGACGUCACUAAAAACCGAUGAAGCCUCCAUAACAUUGGUUCCUUACUGACGCUGAGGAGCAUGGCAAUCUUCACACCUUAACCAAUGCUAUUCAUGUAGGAUGACCAAGAAAUGAAUGUUUCUUACUGAAAUAAUACAUAUUUUGGCAUCUUUUGUUACCCAUAGACUAAUAAACUAAUCCUGGCUUAUAAAA